ACGUACACUCCUGCGGGAGUCAGCAGUGGGGAAUAUUGGACAAUGGGCGCAAGCCUGAUCCAGCCAUGCCGCGUGAGUGAUGAAGGCCCUAGGGUUGUAAAGCUCUUUCACCGGUGAAGAUAAUGACGGUAACCGGAGAAGAAGCCCCGGCUAACUUCGUGCCAGCAGCCGCGGUAAUACGAAGGGGGCUAGCGUUGUUCGGAUUUACUGGGCGUAAAGCGCACGUAGGCGGACUAUUAAGUCAGGGGUGAAAUCCCGGGGCUCAACCCCGGAACUGCCUUUGAUACUGGUAGUCUUGAGUUCGAGAGAGGUGAGUGGAAUUCCGAGUGUAGAGGUGAAAUUCGUAGAUAUUCGGAGGAACACCAGUGGCGAAGGCGGCUCACUGGCUCGAUACUGACGCUGAGGUGCGAAAGCGUGGGGAGCAAACAGGAUUAGAAACCCGGGUAGUCCCA
rnacentral:rRNA from 1 species